GACGAACGCUGGCGGCGUGCUUAACACAUGCAAGUCGAACGGAAAGGCCCUGCUUUUGUGGGGUGCUCGAGUGGCGAACGGGUGAGUAACACGUGAGUAACCUGCCCUUGACCUUGGGAUAACUUCAGGAAACUGGGGCUAAUACCGGAUAGGAGCUCCUGCUGCAUGGUGGGGGUUGGAAAGUUUCGGCGGUUGGGGAUGGACUCGCAGCUUAUCAGCUUGUUGGUGGGGUAGUGGCUUACCAAGGCUUUGACGGGUAGCCGGCCUGAGAGGGUGACCGGCCACAUUGGGACUGAGAUACGGCCCAGACUCCUACGGGAGGCAGCAGUGGGGAAUAUUGCACAAUGGGCGGAAGCCUGAUGCAGCAACGCCGCGUGCGGGAUGACGGCCUUCGGGUUGUAAACCGCUUUCGCCUGUGACGAAGCGUGAGUGACGGUAAUGGGUAAAGAAGCACCGGCUAACUACGUG
rnacentral:rRNA from 1 species